rnacentral:tRNA from 1 species
UAGAUUAAAGCCUGAAAGUAGGUAUUUAGCUGUUAACUAAAUUGUAGUAGGAUAAAAGCCUGCUAAUCUAG